GGGACACGUGGUAUCCUGUCUGAAUAUGGGGGGACCAUCCUCCAAGGCUAAAUACUCCUGACUGACCGAUAGUGAACCAGUACCGUGAGGGAAAGGCGAAAAGAACCCCGGCGAGGGGAGUGAAAAAGAACCUGAAACCGUGUACGUACAAGCAGUGGGAGCACGCUUAGGCGUGUGACUGCGUACCUUUUGUAUAAUGGGUCAGCGACUUAUAUUCUGUAGCAAGGUUAACCGAAUAGGGGAGCCGAAGGGAAACCGAGUCUUAACUGGGCGUUAAGUUGCAGGGUAUAGACCCGAAACCCGGUGAUCUAGCCAUGGGCAGGUUGAAGGUUGGGUAACACUAACUGGAGGACCGAACCGACUAAUGUUGAAAAAUUAGCGGAUGACUUGUGGCUGGGGGUGAAAGGCCAAUCAAACCGGGAGAUAGCUGGUUCUCCCCGAAAGCUAUUUAGGUAGCGCCUCGUGAAUUCAUCUCCGGGGGUAGAGCACUGUUUCGGCAAGGGGGUCAUCCCGACUUACCAACCCGAUGCAAACUGCGAAUACCGGAGAAUGUUAUCACGGGAGACACACGGCGGGUGCUAACGUCCGUCGUGAAGAGGGAAACAACCCAGACCGCCAGCUAAGGUCCCAAAGUCAUGGUUAAGUGGGAAACGAUGUGGGAAGGCCCAGACAGCCAGGAUGUUGGCUUAGAAGCAGCCAUCAUUUAAAGAAAGCGUAAUAGCUCACUGGUCGAGUCGGCCUGCGCGGAAGAUGUAACGGGGCUAAACCAUGCACCGAAGCUGCGGCAGCGACGCUGAUGCGUUGUUGGGUAGGGGAGCGUUCUGUAAGCCUGCGAAGGUGUGCUGUGAGGCAUGCUGGAGGUAUCAGAAGUGCGAAUGCUGACAUAAGUAACGAUAAAGCGGGUGAAAAGCCCGCUCGCCGGAAGACCAAGGGUUCCUGUCCAACGUUAAUCGGGGCAGGGUGAGUCGACCCCUAAGGCGAGGCCGAAAGGCGUAGUCGAUGGGAAACAGGUUAAUAUUCCUGUACUUGGUGUUACUGCGAAGGGGGGACGGAGAAGGCUAUGUUGGCCGGGCGACGGUUGUCCCGGUUUAAGCGUGUAGGCUGGUUUUCCAGGCAAAUCCGGAAAAUCAAGGCUGAGGCGUGAUGACGAGGCACUACGGUGCUGAAGCAACAAAUGCCCUGCUUCCAGGAAAAGCCUCUAAGCAUCAGGUAACAUCAAAUCGUACCCCAAACCGACACAGGUGGUCAGGUAGAGAAUACCAAGGCGCUUGAGAGAACUCGGGUGAAGGAACUAGGCAAAAUGGUGCCGUAACUUCGGGAGAAGGCACGCUGAUAUGUAGGUGAAGUCCCUCGCGGAUGGAGCUGAAAUCAGUCGAAGAUACCAGCUGGCUGCAACU
rnacentral:rRNA from 1 species